UUGUUUAUAGUUUUACUAUCUAUACUAUUUUCAUUCCUUUUUUGUUUUUGUUUUUGUUUCUCUGUGUAGCCCUGGCUGUCCUGUGUAGACCAGGCUAGCCUUGAACUCAGAGAUCUGUUUGCCUCUGCCUUUCAAGGACUAAGGGUGUGCACCACUACCGCCCAGCUAUUUUUUUAAUUUGUCCAUAAGAUGCAGCCAGAUUGCAAGUGACUUUUAUUCAUCCCAUUUCAUUUCUGUGUGAAAUCAAACUUUCAUCUUCAUCAUCUUCUUCAUCUUUUUUUGUCUUUUUGUUUCUAGUUUUGGUCAGUCUUAUCAAUGAAUAUGCUGAGAGGAUUCCAGUGUGUGGUCUAGUGUGUGCCAAAGACUGAGACUUCUGAGUCAUGGGGUGAGCCUAUCUUGAACAUUACCUCAGUGUUCAGACAGCUCCCAAAGUCGUCACACCAGUUUAAAUCUCAUACCAUACACACGCUGGUUCUUGCAAGUCUGCUUCUUUGCCAAUUCUUGGGAUGAUAUCGAUUUACCUGCAAACAAAGCCAAAUCCUACAAGAAUCCCGGAAGACAACCUUCCACAAAAUGCCUUUCUUGUUGUGUUGGUCUGCCUGGGAUUACAAGGACGACCUGGAGUGGGAUAACUCAUGCUGAACACUGUGAUCUUUUAGUGAAUCCCCGGAGAAAUCUGCAAGGAUUGUCAGCUGCAUGGAAAGCUUUUGGGAGGCUAAAAAUAAUCUGUCUUGCAUUCAACAAUUGCUUAAGAGUUUUCCAUUGUAAAUGGUAGCAAAAAUUGAUGUAUCCCAUCUUCUGAAUCUUUCCCAAGUUUUAAUUAUGUCACAACUUGUAUCCUUUGUCAAUAGAUCUUUCGAAUUGAUUUGUCCAUGUUUUGUCCCGCGCGCUAUAUGUUCUCGCCGGCAAGAAUCACGCAGGACACUCG
rnacentral:lncRNA from 1 species